UGGAUCGAUGAUGACUACCCGUGGCGUAUGAGUUGCACGAUGACUACGUGUCUGGAACGCUGAGAUCCAA
ensembl:snoRNA